UUGUUAAGUGUAGUCAGAUGUGAAAGCCCCCUUUCCUUACUGCAUUAUACCAUUACAUUUAAAAUGUUGAAUUGUUACCUGCAGAAUUGUGUAUACAAAUAUUUGCAGUACAAUUAAUAUAAGAAGUCUGCACCUCUUUCCACGCACAGACUGCUUUCCCC